UGGCCGCUCUCCUCCCUCCACCUGUCCACGGGGGGGUUUCCCCCCGGGACCGUCUCCGCCCGUUUCCUCCCUGCCGGGAGGCGACGGUCUCCGGGGCCGCCCGGUCGCGGGUCCCGGCUCGGCGCUUCCCCGGCGCGCCCGGUCGCGGCCGCCUCUCGCCGGGACGCGCCGGGGGGGGUCCCCGGCGGGGCGCUGACGGGCCGUCCCGGGCAGCGGUGCGAGCGGCGGGGCCGCCGCCGCGGAGGGCUGCGCGGGGGGCCGGGGUCGCAGCGCUGCCCCGGGGCCGGAGGCCGGCCGGGGCCCGCCGUGUCAGGCUCCUCGGGAGGUGGCCCCGGGGGAGGCUGCAGAGUGGCACCGAGGAUGUCCGGGAACGCUUCCAAACGAGGGUGAAACUCCCUCCUGGCACAGGUUGAAGAAGAGCGGUGGUGACAAGUGUCCCCGUCAAGGGGAGUGCUGAUAGCAAGAGUGAGUGGGAGUGUGUUUGUGUGUGUUACAAAGGCACUCGCGCGGUGCUUGGCAAUUUGAGGAUCUCCGAUGUAUUUUUGACCAUGGAAUUGGUUAAAAACUUCUUAAACCUGCCCUGCCAUUGUUUUGACCCGGAAAGCAAAAGAACGUGCUUAAGAUGCCUAGCGGGGCAGGGGCUGCCUGUUGCACCAUGCCCUGUUGGACUGCAUCCCUGCUGCUGGAGAGUGGGCUCUCCUGGAGCCAGAGUCAAUCCGUGGGAACCAGGAGCCAUAGGAAGCAGUUGAAGAAAUAACGCGCCAGAAGGAUGCAAGCGGUUUGUCUGCCCCUUCCAGCGGAGCCGCUCAUGGAGGGAGGGCAGGAGCCUCCAGAAGGAUGUGCUUCCGGACGCAGGCCUGGCCUGCAGAAGGUGUGUUACAGAUGAAGUGCCAACAGUCUGUCAGGACACAAGUGAAAAGUUUUCUGUAAUGCUUUCUCCCAGGGCUGGAGAAGAAGCCACUGUAAUCUGAAGGUCAACAGUGAUGGAAGACAUUCAUCCCUACCUUUAAAUACGGCUUAAAUCAGGAAGAAAUACAGUUUCUUUUCUUAGUACUUUGUUUUUAUGGUGUACUCUGAUGUAGUGUGUUUCUGUGAGGCUUAAAGAGUGUGUGUUUUGACAGAAUGGGAUGAUGGUCAUUUUAUUACAGUUCUGAAGGCCUAAUGUUAUAUCGCAAAACAUAGGUCUCUAGUCUUCAUCAGAGUCCAGAAUGGGUAGGAGUCUAGGGCUGAGUCCUUUCCUGUAAAUUACAAGCUUAUCUUUCCUUCCAGAAAUACAUGGAUUUAGAGUAUUGGAUCACAUAAGUAUCCAGAGAAAUGCCUCCACCUCUACUGCUCUUGCAUUCUUAAAUUACAGUGAUUAAAACAUACGGGUUUUAUAUCGGUUACCUUAUAUAUGUAGCCCUUUGGUGGUUUCUGCUAUGAUGAAGUAUCUUGGAUAGACUAACAAAAACAACCACCUUCUUCAAUUUUAAUAGUAAUGUCACAUACAAAAUUUAGGAGAAUUAGUGUAUAAGCUGGCAAAGAACUAUUCUAUAUUAUCUAGUAUUCAGACCUGAUUAAUACAUUAUCCUGUUUGCAACAGGUUGCUUGUAGUUUUAUGGGUUGGAUAGCUAAUGAUACAUUACCUAAGAGGGAAGAACAAAAUCCUCUGCAGAGUUGAUAUCAUAUGUCUUAAUUUUGGUACCCAGUACUUCUCGUUUUGAUGCACCUAACAUUCCUAAUGUUAGUCUCAGUUAUAGAAUUAUAGUUUAUAGAAAACUGUAUCUAUCUACAUAGAAAACCAAAAUGAAAUUGUUGCUUUUUAAUUAACAGCAUCAUGCACUUCAAAGUGUGCUGAUCCAGCUGAGGUAUGAACAGCUACAGCCCCUAGCUACAGUAUGUCAGCUCUUCAGUUCACACAGCAGCAACUUGCUCCCUUCCCUUGGAAGCCACCUUCUCAUUGUGUAGACAAGGGUCAUGACAGUCUUUAAACCGCCAAUACAUAAAAAUCCCAUGGAUGGGUUACAAUGGACUUCUGUGUUUUCACAACCAGGGAAAACACAACAAGAUUUCCCCCCU